CAAUGAGAAGAUUGGCAGGAUUUAGAAAUCUAUUUGAAAUAUUCAUUACCUAUUUUCAAUUGGUCUUAAAAAUUUAAAGAAAUAUAAAGCUGGAUAAUUAAAGAUAAAUAAUAAAGGAAGAAUACAAGGUUUCUAUGCUAUGAAGCAACUGAGAUUAUUAUGAUUUUGGGGCAGUGAAUUUGUUUCUAGAAGUUUUGUUGGAACUAAGGCAAAAAAGGUAAAAAACAAAUGACCUUGGAAUGAAAAACUUUAAG
rnacentral:lncRNA from 1 species